GGUCUGAAUUGGCUGCGACUAUCUGGGGAAGACAUGCUGAGGAUGGGGGUCAUGAGAAAGUUUCACCCAUUGUGAGGUGACUCCUUCACUGAGAAUGUAGACAACUUCUCUCAAAACGCUUUUGUGUCGCAGGCCUCAUCUAAAAAAUAAUAAUGAAUUGUUUGGCA